CAUAUACGCACGCAGUUGGCUUUCAUCUUGUUGCAGUUGACAUUGUACGCGUAGCUAUCUAAUAUCAUUCUAGGCCUGUUGAAUUCAAAGUGGAAAACGAUACAAUCAACACAGAUGAGCAGUUUCUUUGCUGCAAGGUCUGUCGUCAACAAAGUCUUUCCAAUCAUCGGGACUAUUCCUCAGAUCAUUGAACGUAUAACUGGCCUAUGAGUGUUUAGUUCAAUGCCAUUAUACGGCACGUGUGAUCAGUCGUACUCAUAGGGUGCCGCGAUACAUUUGUACUGUGACCUGACGUUUGCACGAAUGAAGUUCAAUUGGCACAUAUCAGCGAAACAAGAUGACCUUUUUUGUCGGAAUACAUAGCAAAAGAAGGCAGACAAACUGAAGAAUUGUGUUCUUAACGUACAAGUUCCUGCGCCCCAGCCACAACCUCUGAAUGAUUCUGUUAUUAAUACCACUGGUCAACUUCAACUGCGAUAAUAAAAGAAUUGAGACACUUA
rnacentral:lncRNA from 1 species